rnacentral:tmRNA from 1 species
AGGUAGCCCGUCGGGGCCAGUGGGGCCUGCAACGCUGGCUCCCGACGACAUUACAGCAGGCUAGUCGACGACCCCCGUCCCGGGGUUGCCGGCGAAACUUCUGGGACUGGUCCAACCCGGAUCCUGUCGACCGGAGCUGGCGCGGACGAGACAGCCACAAAGUAGAUCGACUACGCACGUAGUGGUCUCGUAGGACUCACUUUCGGACGCGGGUUCGAUUCCCGCCGCCUCCACCA